AGCUUUGCGCAGUGGCAGUAUCGUAGCCAAUGAGGUUUAUCCGAGGCGCGAUUAUUGCUAAUUGAGAAAGAAAAAUCUCC
rnacentral:snRNA from 13 species